rnacentral:sRNA from 1 species
UUUGUCUCACACAAGUGCAUCCCUGUCCAUUUCUAAGUGCGCCCUUGUCCUUUGGGGAGUGUGGCCCGUGAAACACAGUGCAUGCCUGCAGUUAUAUGUGUGUUUGAAAACAUAAGAUCCUGCACAGGGAAGUGGUUGAGUGUGUGUGCAUAUGCGUGGGUGUGUCGCUGCCUUGUGGGCAAGCGUGUUCACCUGUGAUGGGUCUUCCUGAGUACAUGCAGACAUGGGUGCAAACAUGCACCUCUGUAGAAGUGUUCACAUGCGAUGAAGUCCAUCCACAUGUUUGCAGGGGUUUGGGUGUGUCAUCCCCCAGCUAGAAGCUUGCGUUUGUGCGAUGGGACAUGCGUCAGUCCUGCACAUAUAGCCUUGGGACUCAUUACACCAGCCAGCCUCCUCUCCCCACUUCCCCAGAAGGGGAUGCCUUGCCAUGCCCUGGGGGAGGAGACGGUGGAGUCCAGAGGUUGACCUGGAAGACUGAGAUUCUUCCCAGGCACAGGCACACAGAUGGGCUCAGCCACAGUGCUCCUGGCAGGUUUACAGCCGGAAAACAACACAAAAAAUUUUUAUCUUGUGUCGAAAAUAACCACUACCCUGACCGUGACCCCAGGGCUUCCUCUGAGUAAGGAGAGACCUCCUAGACUCCUUAGCAUCCAGAGUCCCUUGCUUCCCCAGAGGGCAGCCCAAAAGCACAGAGCCCCAAGGCCCAGCUCCUGCCCCUAAGGCUCUCCUGCCCAUCUCCUCUCUCCCCACCCCCACUCGGUUCCCACGCAUUCUUCAGCCAUGACAUCCUCACUCCAGGAGCUCAGCAGCCAGGGCCAUGCCCUGCCCUGCCUUGCAUUUGCUCUGCCCUGGUUCCACACUGGCCCUGGACCCGCAGGCCAGCACAGUUCUGUGGCCUCUGCACCGGGGUUUCACUCAAGGAGGGGUGGGGGCAGAGAGUGUGGGUGAGCCAGCGUUCCCUGAGGAGGUCUAGUGCUGACUUUGAGCUUACGGGUUGUGUUGGGAUAAUAUUAAAGUGGCUGGUGGGUGCUUACCAUGUUGCAUGCUCUGUGCUAGGGGGUUCAUGUAUACGUCUUAUUUCAUGCAGUAAUCCUAGGAGACAGAUUCUGUUAUGUAGGAGAACACUGAGGCUUAGAAGAGUUUACAUGACUUGUCAGCUAAUAGUAGCCAACCUGGAUUCCAAGACAGGUCUGUCUGACUCCAAAGACCUUGCCCUUUGCUCUAUGUCCAAAGAUGAGUCUAAAUGUCCAGCCACACCUGUAUGCGGUGAUGCCUGUGGGUUUGGGUGUGGGAGCCUGCAGGUACAAUGUCUGUGAAAGGUAUAAUACAUGUGUCCGGGCACGGUAGCUCAUGCCUGUAAUCCCAGCACUUUGGGAGGCCAAAGCAGGAGGAUCACCUGUGGUCAGGGGUUCAAGACCAGCCUGACCAACAAGAUGAAACCCCGUCUCUACUAAAAAAAAAUACAAAAAUUAGCUGGGCGAGGCUGAGACAGGAGAAUUGCUUGAACCCGGGAGGCAGAGGCUGCAGUGAGCUGAGAUUGCACCACUGCACUCCGGCCUGGGUGACAGAGUGAGAAUCCAUCUCAAAAAAAAAAAAAAGAGAGAGAGAAAAAAAAGAAAGGUAUAACACAAGCCUAAGUAUGGAGGCAUUCGUGUGGCAGAUGCACAUCUGUGUGAACUUUGGUGAGUAUGAACCCGCUGCUUCUUCCUUGGAGUGUACCUCCCAUCCCAUGUCCUUGUUAAGGCCACUCUUGCAUGUCACCUGGGAAGCAUCUUCUGUUGCCGUCCCAUCAGUUGCUGAGCCAAGGCCACCUGCCGAGGAUGGCGAUUUAAGUAAGAGUAGCUUUCUCAUGGGUUGGAAGAGAUUUGGGGCCACUUACUGGCUGGUGACCUUGAGUGAGUUAUCACCCUUCAUAGGCUCAAGUGUUCUGAUGUCUAAAGUCAGGGAGGUGGGCUGGAACCUAGCCACUGAGGUUAUCUCUCUCUGAGAGUUUCUAAUGCUCUGCAAGAGCAUGGUGUGGAGUGUGGCUUACUGGGCAUGUUGUGGGCAGGCCAGGAUUAAAUCAAUUAAUGGGAAAGCACUUUGCCAAUUGGAAAGCACCACAAAAAUUUCAACAUUUACAUAAGGUGUCAUUAUCACGACUAUUAUUGGCUUAAUGAGUCCAGAGCUUGCAGCUGGUUUGUGUAUGUUGGAGCUUGUGCAUGUGUGUUUUUUAAAAACCGUCUGUGACUGUGUGUGUAUUUUGUUGUGGAUGUGUCCGUCUGAGUAUCUAUUUUUGUGUAUAUGUAUUUACAGUAGGGGUUCUAGAGUGUGCAGUGGUCGCUGCACUGGGAACGGGGAGGCCUGAGUUAUAUGUCCAGUUUUCCAGUGACUAGCAGU